GCGGAGGGUCGGAUGACCGCCGCGGCUUGUUUUGCACGGCGUAGACGACGUUCGCUCUCAUCGUUUCUUUGAAACGACUGCCGCGAUCGGCGCAUUCGCUUCGCGAAAUGCGCCGUGGAGGAAAGUCCGGACUCCAUCAGGGCACGGUGCCAGGUAACGCCUGGGCGGGGCAACCCGACGGACAGCGCCACAGAGAACAGUCAGCCGCGCACGCGCGGUCACAGGUGAAACGGUGGGGUAAGAGCCCACCACGGGGGUGGCAACACCAACGGUAUGGCAAGCCCCACCGGGAGCAAUGCCAAAUAGGGACCGCGUGGGGGCAACCCCAGGAUCGCCUUGAUCCGAGCAGGUCCGGGUUGGCAGCUAGAGGGCGUCUGGCAACAGACGUCUGAGAUGAAUGGUCAUCGAAUUUGGGGUCACGGCCCCAAAGGAACAAAAUCCGGCUUAUAGACCCUCCGCGCAC
rfam:Pseudooctadecabacter jejudonensis strain CECT 8397 genome assembly, contig: 0001